rnacentral:rRNA from 1 species
CCUACGGGUGGCAGCAGUGAGGAAUCUUGGUCAAUGGGCGAGAGCCUGAACCAGCCAAGUCGCGUGAGGGAGUACUGCCCUAUGGGUUGUAAACCUCUUUUGUCGGGGAGCAAAAGCCGGACGUGUCCGGCUGUGAGAGUACCCGAAGACAAAGCAUCGGCCAACUCCGUGCCAGCAGCCGCGGUAAUACGGAGGAGCCGAGCGUUAUCCGGAUUUUUUGGGUUUAAAGGGAGCGUAGAUGGGUGGUUAAGUCAGUUGUGAAAGUUUGCGGCUCAACCGUAAAAUUGCAAUUGAUACUGGCAGCCUUGAGUGCAGUUGAGGUAGGCGGAAUUCGUGGUGUAGCGGUGAAAUGCUUAGAUAUCACGAAGAACGCCGAUUGCGAAGGCAGCUUACUAAACUGCCACUGACAUUGAUGCUCGAAAGUGUGGGUAUCGAACAGGAUUAGAUACCCCAGUAGUC